GCCCUCCCAUUUCCGGAAGCCUGGCGCAAGGUACGACAUUUGGAGGCCCCAGCGAGAAACGUCACCGGGAGAAACGUCACCGGGCGAGAGCCGGGCCCGCUGUGUGCUCCCCCGGAAGGACAGCCAGCUUGUAGGGGGGAGUGCCACCUGAAAAAAAAAUUUCCAGGUCCCCAAAGGGUGACCGUCUUCCGGAGGACAGCGGAUCGACUACCAUGUGGGUGCCCACAAAAAUUCCACCUCUGAGUCCUCAACUGCUGACCCCGGGGUCAGUAGACACGGGGUUUCAC
rnacentral:lncRNA from 1 species